CGCGCUUUACGCUUCCGGUGAGGCGCCCCGCCUUUCAAGCGAGAGAGGCUCGGUUCAACUCCGGCACGCGCGACCA
rnacentral:tRNA from 1 species